rnacentral:rRNA from 1 species
UACGUAGGGGGCAAGCGUUGUCCGGAAUCAUUGGGCGUAAAGGGUUCGUAGGCGGUGCGGCAAGUCGGGAGUGAAAUCUCUGGGCUUAACUCAGGGGCUGCUUCCGAAACUGCCGUGCUUGAGUGCGGGAGAGGCGAGUGGAAUUGCAGGUGUAGCGGUGAAAUGCGUAGAUAUCUGCAGGAACACCCGUGGCGAAGGCGGCUCGCUGGACCGCAACUGACGCUGAGGCACGAAAGCUAGGGGAGCAAACAGG